rnacentral:misc_RNA from 1 species
GACAACAGUUCUCAUAGGAGCAAUCGCUCUAGGAAAUCAAGACAUGGUCGAAAAGCAAAGAAAAAGUCUUCAUCAAAAUCUUUGAGACCCCAGAGAGCUGCUGCUCGCAAUGCCCUUCAUUUGUUUUCCAGAAUUACAGGGACAUCUACUGAAGGAGAAGAUGAAUAUGGUUCAGAAAGUGAUUCAUCUGAUAGUGAGUCCACACUUCAGGACUCAAACAAUGGAAAUGAAGAUUCG